rnacentral:rRNA from 1 species
GACGAACGCUGGCGGCGUGCUUAACACAUGCAAGUCGAACGGUAAGGCCCUUCGGGGUACACGAGUGGCGAACGGGUGAGUAACACGUGGGUGAUCUACCCUGCACUUCGGGAUAAGCCUGGGAAACUGGGUCUAAUACCGGAUAGGACCACUGCCUGCAUGGGUGGUGGUGGAAAGCUUUUGCGGUGUGGGAUGGGCCCGCGGCCUAUCAGCUUGGUGGUGGGGUGAUGGCCUACCAAGGCGACGACGGGUAGCCGGCCUGAGAGGGUGACCGGCCACACUGGGACUGAGAUACGGCCCAGACUCCUACGGGAGGCAGCAGUGGGGAAUAUUGCACAAUGGGCGCAAGCCUGAUGCAGCGACGCCGCGUGAGGGAUGACGGCCUUCGGGUUGUAAACCUCUUUCAGCACCGACGAAGCGCAAGUGACGGUAGGUGCAGAAGAAGGACCGGCUAACUACGUGCCAGCCGCCGCGGUAA